CAUUACAGUCACAGUCAUCAGUAAAGCUGUGUCACAGAAGCAUUAUUAGUCUGGGAUGACUACUGUUUGCUUUCACGUUGGCAGUUCAUUGGUUAUCUUUUCAACCAGUGCCUCCUCCUGAGAGAAAAACUGUUGGAACUGCUGAUACUCGCUUCUCUGCUUACACUCUGCUCUCUAAGCCAAUGCCUGUCUCUUUUUGCAUCUACUGAACCCCUUGCAGUUGCAGGAGAUGUCUGUCUCUGAGCUCUUCCGGUGUUACUGUGUUGUUUUAUUGUGGUAUUUUGGACUGUCAGUCAACCCUGUGCUAAAGCACCAGAACACCCAGUAAUCUUCUAAACUGGCAAGGGUUAAUCCAGGGUCUCCUUGUGGUCUCUUCUGAGGUUUUUUGUUUGUUCUGGCGCUUUGGUCCUUUGUCUGAACUUGACACGUUGGUUCUCAGGUUGUGCACCUCUAUGGUUUCACUUUCCUUUGUGACUCCAGGUUAGAUCUAGUCUCUCAAACUGUUCAUUUGACAGUGGGUAUAAGAGCAGCUGUUCUAGGCCAUAGCAAAGAUCCAUACAGCUCCAUCUUCUCUCAGCAGUGGCAAGUAGUGGACACCUAUGAGAAACAGGGCAAUGAAGACAGAAUUAACAGAACUGAAGAAAACUGAACCUACAGAGAAAGCAGCUUCUUGAUCCCAUUUUGGAAAGAAAAGAUGAAAGGUUUGAUACUUGAAACAUGGAAGAGCUCUUUCUUUUAGAAUUAUUUUGUUACAUUGUCUCUACUUAGCAAAUACACCUAACUAAUGGUUUUGGAUACUCCAGGACCCAUCACAGUCUAGACCCUAAUCUAAUGACUGCAUGUUUCCUAUUGAAAUGAUAUUUUAAUAGUGACUCCAUUACCAAAGAAAAAAUGAACUUUGAUCAAACAUGAAAGCAAAAAUCCAAGAAGAUUUGACUCGUCUCCCCAGUCUGCUGCUCCGUUCUCCCCUCUACAAGUCAUCCUGCUCUAAGGGCAAAUUCCCAGAGACUUCUGGUUCUCCUUCCAUGAUGUUCUCCAGAAGGCUUUUGCCAGUUGUCGCCAACAAACAAGGAUUUAUUUUGAGACUUCAGACAGGUGAAUCUUUCUUUCACCAGCCACAGUGUGUUUCUUACUCCUGGAAACCAGUAGCUGUGUGGCAAUGAAGAGUCUGCCAGUUUUUUUGCCACUUGAACUCAAAUGCAAAACCAGGUGAAACAGCCACCUUCUCCACUUCCCUGAGUGGCCACACUGGACCUAUCAACCAGACUGUGCAAAGCAUUUGUACCCACACAAAAAGAGUGGAAAAUCUCUACAGUGCUGUCCUAGGUUAAGAAAAAGGACCCCCUUGCAAUUGUAUGAGCAACUCUACCGUGCUCUGAAAACACUUCUGAGUAGGAGUAGUGAGACAAGGCAGAAAGCUGGCUUAGCUCCUGAGAGUGCCAGAUGGCAGAGAAGGCUUGUGAUGAGAUGCAAGGCACAGAGAACAACUUUCCAGGACAGCAAAGUUCCAGAAACUACCAUCAGGAAAACAAGCCUGUGGGAAAAGCAAGUCACAGUCUUUUCCAACCAAAAUUAGGCUCACUUUAGGUAUCAUUGAACAUUCAGUCUCUUGUUGUCCUGAAAUACUGAAGAGAAUGACCAACUGCCAGAUACAAAUGAGGGUAACCAAGCAGCUUAUAUUUUCGAAAAUCUUUGAGAUACUCCAAACACCUUUCCUUCAUGCCCAAGCCAAACAUCUAAAGAAAUUCCAUUAGUAUUCUAGGGUUCAUACAAACUGUUUUCUAUUGAUAACAAAUGUCAGUUCAUCUGCUUGUUGUAGAAGGGCCACAGUGAUUUACAAAUCACUUCUGAUCGGGAAAUGCACCAGAUCAUGACAGCUAUUUAAAGAAACACCACACAAUUUUUACACACUAAUCAGGAAGCAGAUUCCUCCUAGCCCACAGAAUGAAAACAAAACCUUCCACAGCAGGGCCAUUUGUAUUUCUUUGCUGUCAUCAGUUUGUUGACUGGUCCCUGAGAAACUUCUCUUUAUAACAUUGCAUUUUGCUGUCAUUCUAUUAUUACUCAUUCAAAACCUGGAGGAAAGCACAAAAUUAUUAAAUAUAUAUCCAAAGCUAUUUUGCCAAAGACUUCCUCUGAAUAGUGCUGGGCAACUUAUUUCAUCAUUGUGUUGAGCCUAAUGCAGGAACAAUUUAUUUUUCACCUGAGUACAGUAAUAGCAAAUACUGUGCCAGUGGAGUAAUUAAGAUAUCAUAAAACAAACAAAAAAUUUUGUUUGCAACCUUUAAUAUGCUCUUCAAAGAAAAAUUCCAGGUGAGGGGAAGAGUGGUUGCCCUGCACUGGGGGCCGAGUGCUAACAAUUAGGAGUUUUCUAUCAUUAAUAACCUCAUCGUGACCUGUGAGCUGCAGGGAGCAUACACAGCACCUUUAUCAUCCCUGCUACAUAUUGCUUCUCACUUGCAGAGGAUGUGGGUGCUGUGGGUUACCAGAAAAUGUUGGUAGAAUAUGUUCCUCUUGCUUGAGAGCACAGUUCACAGCGAAACCAACCGUUCCUGAACAAUUCCAUACCACAGUCUUGGAUCUCAUUCAUACCUGCAUGGGGAGUUGUCAAACACAGGGUUGGGACCUGCAAAGGAGCACUCUUGUCUCCAAGGCAAUCUCCCUUCAGGAGCAAUGAGCUGAAAACACUGUUCUACUGCCCUGUGAAGGAGUGAAAACACAUCAGGGAUCUUCUGUCAGUUUUGGUAAAUGUUGGCUGUAAAAGUCAGUGUGGUGGUCAACUCAAACCAUUAGUUACAGAUUCCCAUUUAAAUCAGCCUGAAAUAAAAUUGAAGUGCAGUUUCAUUCAUAA